rnacentral:rRNA from 1 species
AAUCUGGCUCUUUCAGAGUCCGAGUUGUAAUUUGCAGAGGGCGCUUUGGCGUUGGCAGCGGUCCAAGUUCUUUGGAACAGGACGUCACAGAGGGUGAGAAUCCCGUACGUGGUCGCUAGCCUUCGCCGUGUAAAGCCCCUUCGACGAGUCGAGUUGUUUGGGAAUGCAGCUCUAAAUGGGAGGUAAAUUUCUUCUAAAGCUAAAUACUGGCCAGAGACCGAUAGCGCACAAGUAGAGUGAUCGAAAGAUGAAAAGCACUUUGGAAAGAGAGUCAAAUAGCACGUGAAAUUGUUGAAAGGGAAGCGCUUGCAGCCAGACUUGCCUGUAGUUGCUUAUCUGGACUUUUGUCCGGUGCACUCUUCUGCGGGCAGGCCAGCAUCAGUUUGGGCGGUUGGAUAAAGGUCUCUGUCAUGUACCUCCUUUCGGGGAGGCCUUAUAGGGGAGACGACAUGCAACCAGCCUGGACUGAGGUCCGCGCAUCUGCUAGGAUGCUGGCGUAAUGGCUGUAAGCGGC